UAUAAAUAGACAUGUUCCUAUGUGGAUAAUAUCAAACGUGUGGAGAAAAUUGCGAAAUCAUCACUUGCACGGAAAAAAAUAAAGAUCCAAGUGAAAAUGAUAAUAUUGUGGAAAGUGUACUUUUUCGUUGUAAUAUCUUAUUUUGCGGGAAAAUCCUUAGGACAAGGACAAACUAGCUCAAGUUGUGUCAGUACUGAAAGUAUGCAAACUCACUGUAACAAUCUAUACGAUCCGGAAACUCAGCGAGGGGAAAAUGAAUGUUGUAAUAGAGCCAUAGCAAUUUGCUGUGAAAAUUGUAACCAAGAUGAUGGACGCUUUUUAAACACAUGCUUGUAUGACGUUUGUCAAAUCAUUAGUUCUUGCAGUAAUACUGCUCAAAUUGCAACAAGUAUAAAUUUGAACGUACAAGGUCCUGCUUUAGUUUCAUCCCCUGGUGAUUUUUCAACAAACGCAUUAAAUGUCAUUUCUUCCCUUGGCUCAUCAGUUAAAUUCAGCGCUCAACCUAUACAGAUUAAAAAUAAUUGGUUCGAUCAGCUUACCAGUGUCUCAUGUACACCAUGUAUCUGUGGUGACCAAAAUGACAAAAAGUAAACUUUAAUAAUGUAGUAAAGUUUUAAAAAGAAUCAUCUUUACCUAUUUUUCGAAGACAUAUGGCAAUUUAUUAUUCUUUAUUGGAAAUAAAGUAUGCUCUGAAAUAAUAUUUUCACUUCC